GUGCCAGCCGCCGCGGUAAUACGGAGGAUCCAAGCGUUAUCCGGAAUCAUUGGGUUUAAAGGGUCCGUAGGCGGCUUUAUAAGUCAGGGGUGAAAUCCGGCAGCUCAACUGUCGAACUGCCUCUGAUACUGUAGAGCUUGAAUUAUUGUGAAGUAACUAGAAUAUGUAGUGUAGCGGUGAAAUGCUUAGAUAUUACAUGGAAUACCAAUUGCGAAGGCAGGUUACUAACAAUACAUUGACGCUGAUGGACGAAAGCGUGGGUAGCGAACAGGAUUAGAUACCCUGGUAGUCC
rnacentral:rRNA from 1 species